CCCUUCGUGGUGUAGUGGUCAGCACGCUGGACGUGUGUUCGAGAGGUCCGUGGUUCGAAUCCUGGCAAGGGCA
rfam:Stegodyphus mimosarum contig95435, whole genome shotgun sequence.